rnacentral:rRNA from 1 species
UACAGAGACUGCAAGCGUUAUUCGGAUUCACUGGGCGUAAAGGGUGCGCAGGUGGUUGUGUGUGUCAGAUGUGAAAUCCCGGAGCUUAACUCCGGAACUGCGUCUGAAACUGCACGACUAGAGCAUUGGAGAGGGUAGUGGAAUUCACGGUGUAGCAGUGAAAUGCGUAGAUAUCGUGAGGAACACCAGAGGCGAAGGCGACUACCUGGACAAUUGCUGACACUGAGGCGCGACAGCGUGGGGGGCAAACAGG